rnacentral:rRNA from 1 species
GAUGAACGCUGGCGGCGUGCCUAAUACAUGCAAGUCGAGCGAACGGACGAGAAGCUUGCUUCUCUGAUGUUAGCGGCGGACGGGUGAGUAACACGUGGAUAACCUACCUAUAGACUGGGAUAACUUCGGGAAACCGGAGCUAAUACCGGAUGAUAUUUUGAACCGCAUGGUUCAAAAGUGAAAGACGGUCUUGCUGUCACUUAUAGAUGGAUCCGCGCUGCAUUAGCUAGUUGGUAAGGUAACGGCUUACCAAGGCAACGAUGCAUAGCCGACCUGAGAGGGUGAUCGGCCACACUGGAACUGAGACACGGUCCAGACUCCUACGGGAGGCAGCAGUAGGGAAUCUUCCGCAAAGGGCGAAAGCCUGACGGAGCAACGCCGCGUGAGUGAUGAAGGUCUUCGGAUCGUAAAACUCUGUUAUUAGGGAAGAACAUAUGUGUAAGUAACUGUGCACAUCUUGACGGUACCUAAUCAGAAAGCCACGGCUAACUACGUG